GGUUCCAACAGAGUAGUGGUUAGCACAUCUGCUUUACAUGCAGAAGAUCUUGGGUUCGAGCCCCAGUGGAACCA
rnacentral:tRNA from 1 species